UAGGGAAUCUUCGGCAAUGGACGAAAGUCUGACCGAGCAACGCCGCGUGAGUGAAGAAGGUUUUCGGAUCGUAAAACUCUGUUGUUAGAGAAGAACAAGGACGUUAGUAACUGAACGUCCCCUGACGGUAUCUAACCAGAAAGCCACGGCUAACUACGUGCCAGCAGCCGCGGUAAUACGUAGGUGGCAAGCGUUGUCCGGAUUUAUUGGGCGUAAAGCGAGCGCAGGCGGUUUCUUAAGUCUGAUGUGAAAGCCCCGGCUCAACCGGGGAGGGUCAUUGGAAACUGGGGGACUUGAGUGCAGAAGAGGAGAGUGGAAUUCCAUGUGUAGCGGUGAAAUGCGUAGAUAUAUGGAGGAACACCAGUGGCGAAGGCGGCUCUCUGGUCUGUAACUGACGCUGAGGCUCGAAAGCGUGGGGAGCAAACAGG
rnacentral:rRNA from 1 species